ACUCAAAUGAAUAGACGGGGGCCCGCACAAGCGGUGGAGCAUGUGGUUCAAUUCGAAGCAACGCGAAGAACCUUACCAGCCCUUGACAUGUCUCGUAUGGUUGCCAGAGACGGUGACCUUCCCGCAAGGGGCGAGAACACAGGUGCUGCAUGGCUGUCGUCAGCUCGUGUCGUGAGAUGUUGGGUUAAGUCCCGCAACGAGCGCAACCCUCGCCUUUAGUUGCCAUCAUUUAGUUGGGCACUCUAAAGGGACUGCCGGUGAUAAGCCGGAGGAAGGUGGGGAUGACGUCAAGUCCUCAUGGCCCUUACGGGCUGGGCUACACACGUGCUACAAUGGCGGUGACAGAGGGAAGCGAGAGCGCAAGCUUUGGCUAAUCUCUAAAAGCCGUCUCAGUUCGGAUUGGGGUCUGCAACUCGACCCCAUGAAGUUGGAAUCGCUAGUAAUCGCGGAUCAGCACGCCGCGGUGAAUACGUUCCCGGGCCUUGCACACACCGCCCGU
rnacentral:rRNA from 1 species